GACAGAGGGUGCAAACGUUGUUCGGAAUUACUGGGCGUAAAGCGAGUGUAGGCGGUUUGAUAAGUCGGGUGUGAAAGCCCUGGGCUCAACCCAGGAAGUGCACUCGAUACUGUCAGGCUAGAGUAUCGGAGAGGUUGGUGGAAUUCUCGGUGUAGAGGUGAAAUUCGUAGAUAUCGAGAGGAACACCGGUGGCGAAGGCGGCCAACUGGACGAAUACUGACGCUGAGACUCAAAAGCGUGGGGAGCAAACAGG
rnacentral:rRNA from 1 species